UGACCAUCCCUUGCUGACAUUAAGACCUCUGAUGCAUCGGGUCACUAAGCUUCUGAAACACAAGCAGCCAGAGGGUCUCAGCUCCUGAUGUCUGACACAUGAGGCUUUACAAAAACACACAGGAAGACUUUGUACCAUCUUCGUCCUGGCUGGCACCUCGACAGCAAACACACUCAUGCCUCUGCUGCUGCAGCAGUUCCUGCUCUGCUCAUUGUUUACAUGGACAGUCACUUUCUGGUUGGCCUGCAACACAAAGGAUAUUGGUAACUUCACUGAUCAGCUUCAUAAACUUAAAAUCACAGAAUAUGCUGAAAUCGGCUAAACAAAUAGAGUAGAUAAAUAAUUACAGUAGGAAUCGAAAGUCUAAAACAGCCUUUUUUUUUCUUUACUCACAAAAAAGGUAUUUGUGUGCUUUGUCAAUAUAAAACUAUAAAUAAACAGAUGACCUUAUGCUAAUCGAA